GCACAGACGGUAGAGAUUCCGUCCCCACCGAAAGAUUUAAGCACAGGGACACUUUUUGAAGGUCGGAGCCAGGUGUUGGUUCUGGUAGUGAUCGAGGGAAAUAUAGUACCGAAGUCCGGCUGGAAGAGAGGCGAGAAAAGCUGUGUGUAUAUCUAAGGUGCCCGUACCGCAAACCGACACAGGUAGGUAGGAAGAAGAUUCUAAGGCCAACGGGAGAAGGGUUGUUAAGGAACUCGGCAAGUUGACCCCGUAACUUCGGAAUAAGGGGUGCUCACGAGAGUGAGCCGCAGAGAAUAGGCCCAGGCAACUGUUUACCAAAAACACAGGUUUGUGCUAAAUCGAAAGAUGACGUAUACGAGCUGACGCCUGCCCGGUGCUGGAAGGUUAAAAGGAGAUGUGCAAGCAUUGAAUUGAAGCCCCAGUGAACGGCGGCCGUAACUAUAACGGUCCUAAGGUAGCGAAAUUCCUUGUCAGGUAAGUUCUGACCCGCAUGAAAGGCGUAAUGAUCUGGGCACUGUCUCAACAGCCCGCCCGGCGAAAUUGUAGUACCGGUGAAGAUGCCGGUUACCCGCGACAAGACGGAAAGACCCCAUGGAGCUUUACUGUAGCCUGAUAUUGGGUUUCGGUGUUGCAUGCACAGGAUAGAUGGGACGCUGGGAAAGAAGCGCUUUGGCGUUUCUGGAGCGGACGUUGGGAUACCAUCCUUGCGACAUUGGAAUUCUAACCUGCGCCUCUGAAUCGAGGCGGGGGACAUUGUCAGGUGGGCAGUUUGACUGGGGCGGUCGCCUCCUAAAAAGUAGCGGAGGCGUUCAAAGGUUCGUUCGAUCUGGACGGAAACCAGAUGAUUGAGUGCAAACGCAUAAACGAGCCUGACUGCGAGACUGACGGGUCGAGCAGAGACGAAAGUCGGAGUUAGUGAUCCGGUGGUAUGUGAGUGGAAAUGCCAUCGCUCAACGGAUAAAAGUUACCCUGGGGAUAACAGGCUGAUCUCCCCCAAGAGUCCACAUCGACGGGGAGGUUUGGCACCUCGAUGUCGGCUCAUCGCAUCCUGGGGCUGAAUUCGGUCCCAAGGGUUUGGCUGUUCGCCAAUUAAAGCGGUACGCGAGCUGGGUUCAGAACGUCGUGAGACAGUUCGGUCCCUAUCUGUCGUGGGCGCAGGAUAUUUGAAAGGCGCUGUCCCUAGUACGAGAGGACCGGGAUGGACGAACCUCUGGUGCACCAGUUGUCACGCCAGUGGCACAGCUGGGCAGCUAUGUUCGGAUCGGAUAAACGCUGAAAGCAUCUAAGCGUGAAGCCGGCCUUAAGAUAAGAUAUCCCACUGAGUCAAUCAGGUAAGACCCCUUGAAGACUACAAGGUUGAUAGGCACACAGUGUAAGCGGAGUGAUCCGUUCAGCUAGCGUGUACUAAUAGGUCGAGGGCUUGACCC
rnacentral:rRNA from 1 species